CACGUAGUUAGCCGUGACUUCCUCGCCGGGUACCAUCACUCAGAAAGCUUUCCACUCUUUCUGCCUUUUGUCCCCGGCAACAGAGCUUUACGAUCCGAAGACCUUCCUCGCUCACGCGGCAUUGCUCGUUCAGGGUUCCCCCCAUUGACGAAAAUUCCCUACUGCUGCCUCCCGCAGGAGUCUGGGCCGUGUCCCAGUCCCAGUGUGGCCGUCCGCCCUCUCAGGCCGGCUAUGCAUCGUCGACUUGGUGAGCCGUUACCUCUCCAACCAGCUAAUGCACCGCAGGUCCAUCUGCAUGCGGGACUCUUGUCCCCUUUUCCAAAAAGAGAUGCCUCCUCUUUGCUCAUCCGGUAUCAGCUUCCGUUUCCAGAAGUUCUCCCGCUCAUGCAGGCAGGUUCCCUAGUGUUACUCACCCGUUCGCCACUCAUAUCCGAAGAUAUCCGUUCGACUUGCAUGUAUUAGGCAUGCCGCAGCGUUCAUCCUGAGCCAGGA
rnacentral:rRNA from 1 species